rnacentral:rRNA from 1 species
UCUUGGUCAGAACGAACGCUGGCGGCGCGUUUAAGCAUGCAAGUCGAGCGGCAAGGGCCUUCGGGCCCCUAGAGCGGCGGACGGGUGAGUAACACGUGGACAAUCUCGCCCCCCGGCCCGGGAUAGCCCAGGGAAACCUGGAUUAAUACCGGAUGAGACGGGACCCGCGAUGGCGGGACCCGGGAAAGGCGCUGCGGCGCCGCCGGGGGAUGAGUCUGCGUCCCAUUAGCUAGACGGCGGGGUAACGGCCCACCGUGGCGACGAUGGGUAGCCGGCCUGAGAGGGUGGACGGCCACAUUGGAACUGAGACACGGUCCAGACUCCUACGGGAGGCAGCAGCUAAGAAUCUUCCGCAAUGGGCGAAAGCCUGACGGAGCGACGCCGCCGUGAACGAAGAAGGCCGUGAGGUUGUAAAGUUCUUUUCGGGAGGGGGAACAACCGUGGCAGGGAAUGGCCGCGGGAUGACGUGAAUCCCCGGAAUAAGCCCCGGCUAACUACGUGCCAGCAGCUGC